rnacentral:rRNA from 1 species
GAUUGAACUUAAGAGUUUGAUCCUGGCUCAGAUUGAACGCUGGCGGCAUGCUUUACACAUGCAAGUCGAACGGCAGCGGGGGCUUCGGCCUGCCGGCGAGUGGCGAACGGGUGAGUAAUGCAUCGGAACGUGCCCAUGUCGUGGGGGAUAACGUAGCGAAAGCUACGCUAAUACCGCAUACGCCCUGAGGGGGAAAGCGGGGGAUUCUUCGGAACCUCGCGCGAUUGGAGCGGCCGAUGUCGGAUUAGCUAGUAGGUGAGGUAAAGGCUCACCUAGGCGACGAUCCGUAGCGGGUCUGAGAGGAUGAUCCGCCACACUGGGACUGAGACACGGCCCAGACUCCUACGGGAGGCAGCAGUGGGGAAUUUUGGACAAUGGGCGCAAGCCUGAUCCAGCCAUGC